rnacentral:rRNA from 1 species
AGUGAACGCUGGCGGUAGGCCUAACACAUGCAAGUCGAACGGCAGCACAGGAGAGCUUGCUCUCUGGGUGGCGAGUGGCGGACGGGUGAGGAAUACAUCGGAAUCUACUUUUUCGUGGGGGAUAACGUAGGGAAACUUACGCUAAUACCGCAUACGACCUACGGGUGAAAGCAGGGGACCUUCGGGCCUUGCGCGAUUGAAUGAGCCGAUGUCGGAUUAGCUAGUCGGCGGGGUAAAGGCCCACCAAGGCGACGAUCCGUAGCUGGUCUGAGAGGAUGAUCAGCCACACUGGAACUGAGACACGGUCCAGACUCCUACGGGAGGCAGCAGUGGGGAAUAUUGGACAAUGGGCGCAAGCCUGAUCCAGCCAUACCGCGUGGGUGGAGAAGGCCUUCGGGUUGUAAAGCCCUUUUGUUGGGAAAGAAAUCCAGCUGGCUAAUACCCGGUUGGGAUGACGGUACCCAAAGAAUAAGCACCGGCUAACUUCGUGCCAGCAGCCGCGGUAA